GACAGAGGGUGCAAACGUUGUUCGGAAUUACUGGGCGUAAAGCGCGUGUAGGCUGCUUCGCAAGUCGGAUGUGAAAGCCCUGGGCUCAACCCAGGAAGUGCAUUCGAAACUGCAGAGCUGGAGUCCUGGAGAGGAAGGCGGAAUUCUCGGUGUAGAGGUGAAAUUCGUAGAUAUCGAGAGGAACACCGGUGGCGAAGGCGGCCUUCUGGACAGUGACUGACGGUGAGACGCGAAAGCGUGGGGAGAAAACAGG
rnacentral:rRNA from 1 species